rnacentral:lncRNA from 1 species
AAAGAAGUCUGCCUGUGCUUCAGUAGGUGUCGCCAGGGGGGCUGAGAAUCAGAUCAGAUCUGUCGAUCUAAGUGGGGUGUGUCAUGGAGUAAGGUCCUGCGUCGAGGAGCAUAAGAAGCCUUAGAAGCUGGGAAGGCAACAAAACACUCUUCUCUCAAGCCUCCAGAGGGAUGCAGCCACACCAACAGCUUCACCUCAGACCCCAUGGAACUCAUUUUGGACUUUGACCUCCAGCACUGUAAAGGGGAAUCACAUAACUUCAGCUUCACUAACAAUUGUGAUCAGGAUUGGAACUGACGCCAACAAGGUCUGCUUUGGGAGACCAUGCUCCAGCCGGGACCUCUUCCCACACAAUCUGUCUAAGAUUUGGAAGACUCUAGAUAACAAGGCUAGACAAACCUUGGGCUUGAGUCAGGUGGAAUCCGGAGCUGCAUAUGUGGAACUAGGAGUGGUGGAAUCAGACUGAACAUGUGCAUCUGGGCCCCUCUUCUGGCUGCUUAAACAGACUACU